AUGCAGAAUGUCUUGGGCUCUUGGCCCAUAAUUGGCUUACCCAACAGGCCGACACACCGAGAGAGCGGCCCUAAAAAACCCCGAGAAAGCACUGACUUCCCGAACGCAUAUCCCCUGCCGCGCCGACGCCCUAGCCCCCCUGACUCCGACGCCGUCACUUCGCCGGCCACCGCCACCGGACGCAAUACCUGCCGCCGCCCCGUGCCGCGCUCCCCGAAGGACCACUUCGCGCCCCUAAGCAGCUGUCUGUUCUGCGGGUGCAGCGUCACCCCCGCGGCACGCCGUCUCGUGCCGGUGCUCGGCCCUUCCUCAGUUUCCCUCCAUGUCUCCAUUCACGACUGCAUCCACUCAUUUCAACUGAGACUCUUCUCUCAUGCCAAUGUGUUUUCAUACUGA
rnacentral:rRNA from 1 species